UACGGAGGGUGCAAGCGUUAUCCGGAUUCACUGGGUUUAAAGGGAGCGCAGGCGGAUUUGUAAGUCAGUGGUGAAAGGCUUAAGCUUAACUUGGGAACUGCCAUUGAUACUAUAAGUCUUGAAUGUUGUUGAGGUUUGCUGGAAGUGGGUCAUGUAGCGGUGAAAUGCAUAGAUAUGACCCGGAACACCUAUUGCGAAGGCAGCAGGCUAAACAAAUAUUGACGCUGAGGCUCGAAAGCGUGGGGAUCAAACAGG
rnacentral:rRNA from 1 species